GGAAGGAGUCCUUCCAUCAGACCCUGAGCCCACAGAGCAUCACAUCAUUUCUCUGUGCUGGUGACUGAUUUUGUUACAGUUUUACUCACCUGUCAGUGCAGAAGAGUGCUGAUGACAGUGUUUUAUUUCUGAAUCAUUCCAUGCCUAAAUGUGGGCUCCUCUCAUCCAAAGAAAGAAAUGGGUUUCUUUAACCUUUAAGGGUGACGUCCUUUCAACCUUGUGCUCAUUGACAGGAAUGACUGCACACACAAACUGUGUUGUUCUGCGCAUUGAGCUGCUGGGAUUAGAUAUACUCUGACUGAACGCAGUGACCUUCAAAUGCUUCCAUGGAAGAAGAUCUGUUUCUUAAGCCAAAUAAUUAACCACUGCAGGAUGGAUGUUGCCUCAGUAUCUAUUGAAUUUCUUGCACAGGGUGUAAUCACUCACUACUUAAUUGCUAUGUAAUUUUAUUAUUAUCUGUAAAAUGUUUUUCAGAAAGGAAAGAUAUAAUUGUAAAUGGUCUGAUGUAAACUGACCUAUUUCUAGUGACUUUCAGUAAUUACAAGUCCCUAGCUGGUAUAAAUGAGUAACUGCAAAGAGCUGUUCUGAUUUAAGUGACCUGCUCUACAUUUCCAGUAUAGGAGCUGAAUGCACAAGUGUGACACAUCCAGUGUGGAUGUGUUCUCUGUGGUAUAACUUCCAAUGACACAGUGCCAGGGCAACUAAGACCCAAAUUAUCCACCACACUGCCCUCUUUCUGGUCUAUUCUGGCUACUCUGCUGCCUUCCAGGUCAUGCAAUAAGCACCCAUUUUGUAGUCUGAAAUUUGCAGCCAAAAUCAGACUUUGUACCAUCCCUUAGAGGCACAGGUUUUGUGACGUACCUUUCCUGUCCUACAUUAC
rnacentral:lncRNA from 7 species